UGGACAAAUUAUUAUACUCGAUUGUAUUCAUGACGUGAAACGGGGGAUUACACUCUUUUUAAACAGAAAGUGAAUCAAUUAACAUAAUGGACUCCU
rfam:Nicotiana attenuata strain TT chromosome 2, whole genome shotgun sequence.